GCUAAGAGAUGUAAUAAAAUAACCAGUUUAAUUUGUGUUACAUUUUGAGGAAAGUGUGAGCAGAAGCCAUACAGAUAAUGAACAGUAUAUUCCAGCAAUGUACAUUUUAAGUGGAGCAGACUAGAUCCUUGCCCUACUGCCAUGCCCAACCAUGCUUGCCAGUUGUAUGUCCAAAUAUAGCUGUGGCCUAUUUUCAACCCACAAAUGUGUAUAAUCUGUCCUCAUUCCCACCACACACGAGCUGGAACCUGUGACUGCUUCUGUAAAAUCUGAAGUACAAGUUCAAAUGUGCAGGUACUGUUCAGCUUAUUUGUUUUGUGAGAGUCUACUCCCAGCUUUCAGUGUUUUUAGCCAAUGAAUGAAAACAUAGCAAUGACUGGCAUUUUGAAAAGCAGAUCUAGCGAAAUAGAAAAUCAGUUACACACCAGUGUCUAGUGAAGCAACUUUUUGGUUACUUUUUCAGUCUUCUCUGCCCUGUUGGUUGCCACUCUUGACUGAUGUUAACACUUCUUCUUUAAAGUCGGUGUUAGAACUUUAAUGAAAAAUUGCUAUCUGUAUGAGGCCUCAGCUUCAGGAUGCUUUUAUCCAGAUAUGUUACCUAGGAUUAUUUCCAUUUCCAGGUACAUUUUCUUCUGUUAGAGAAGAACUACAAGAAGGUAUUGUUAGCUUCCUGAAGCAAGAUGUCGAGUCUGGGGCCCUUCCUUGUAAAAUAAUUUUUUAAUAACCAGGAAAAUGUGUGCAUUAGAACAAGGGUUGCUCCAAUAUGAGUGCAAUUAGUCAAGAAAGUGUCCUGCAGGGAUAGAACUUGGAAAAAGUUAUUAAUGGAAAAAGUUAAGGUACUUAUCUGUACCUUUUCUGUGUUUGAAAACUUAACUUUUUGGCUGCAAUAUUUUUGAAAGCUGGUUCUUAUUAUGGUAGAGGGUUUAUCCUUCUCAUUUAUCACCAACAGCUAUACUGCAAUUACCUUCCCAGUUAGUCAUGAGAGUGUAAUGUCAAAAUGACUCAAAGCAUUUAGUAGAAAAUUUCACUAUGCUCCAUAAAAGAUUUUUAACAUUAGAUAUAGUGCAGGAUAACAUAUUUUAACAAUAAUGGUUACAUGAUUUUGUAAGAACAAACAGGAUUCACUUUCACUUUAAUAUACGUCUUUUCUCUCCCUUAGUGUAACCUGAUUGACCAGAAUUCAAAUUGGGAGCUGGCGGGGACUCCUGUCGUACCACGUGGCCUGCCCAGGGAUUUCCCAACUACCAGCCGCCUAGUCAUGUGUUGCUUCCGGGGGCUUGGGGCCCGAUGCAACAGGCUGCAACUGCCGCUCACAUUGGGACCAGGUAGAAUCUGAUCCACACCAACGCGUCCAAGGCACAUGCGAAGAAGGAAACAGCUGCAGCAUGGGACCUAAAUCAGAUUCUUCUGCUAUCUCAUAAGGAGAGGCGGCUUGAAUCCAAGCAUCACUUGCCAAGGAAUAAAGGAAAGAAUUGGGAGAGCACUCCAAUUGCAUAGUUGAUAGCUUAAUAUUAAAGUUUUUACUUUAUAC